GAUGAACGCUAGCUACAGGCUUAACACAUGCAAGUCGAGGGGAAACGACAUCGAAAGCUUGCUUUUGAUGGGCGUCGACCGGCGCACGGGUGAGUAACGCGUAUCCAACCUGCCCACCACUUGGGGAUAACCUUGCGAAGGUAAGACUAAUACCCAAUGACGUCUCUAGAAGACAUCUGAAAGAGAUUAAAGAUUUAUCGGUGAUGGAUGGGGAUGCGUCUGAUUAGCUUGUUGGCGGGGUAACGGCCCACCAAGGCGACGAUCAGUAGGGGUUCUGAGAGGAAGGUCCCCCCACAUUGGAACUGAGACACGGUCCAAAACUCCUACGGGAGGCAGCAGUGAGGAAUAUUGGUCAAUGGGCGAGAGCCUGAACCAGCCAAGUAGCGUGCAGGAAGACGGCCCUAUGGGUUGUAAACUGCUUUUAUAAGGGAAUAAAGUUAGUCUCGUGAGACUUUUUGCAUGUACCUUAUGAAUAAGGACCGGCUAAUUCCGUG
rnacentral:rRNA from 1 species